UUGGUUAGAAAUCUACCCAGGCCAGCACUGCAACGGUGCUGGCAAGGAGGCUCGCGACGCCGGCAGCGGACUCCGUAGGCAGAACGUUUCUGCCUGACCUUGCUUCAAGGUCUAAGGGACAUAACAGUCAAC
rfam:Pseudomonadales bacterium RIFCSPHIGHO2_02_FTLL_60_43 rifcsphigho2_02_scaffold_5121, whole genome shotgun sequence.